AACGAACGCUGGCGGCAGGCUUAACACAUGCAAGUCGAACGGUCUCUUCGGAGGCAGUGGCAGACGGGUGAGUAACGCGUGGGAAUCUACCUAGUUCUACGGAACAACAGUUGGAAACGACUGCUAAUACCGUAUACGCCCUACGGGGGAAAGAUUUAUCGGAAUUAGAUGAGCCCGCGUAAGAUUAGCUAGUUGGUGGA
rnacentral:rRNA from 1 species